UUCAUAACUCUUGAUUACAAUUUUUUAAUAAUUGGUCAAUAGUUGGUAAAGGGAGAUUACUCUGACACCAAUGUUGCUAACUAAAACAAAACAAUCAUCUGGCAUUUCUUGUUGCUCAAGACCCCUUAAUUCUUAAUUUACUUUAAUAUUUACACUCUAAACUAAUAAUAUUCCUGGAGUCGGUAGUUACAAUCUGUUAGGUGAUCACCAUGGUCCUAUUAAAGACGUGGACCUCAACAGAACAAGAUCCCUUAACAGAUUAGAUCAAAGUGGAAGGACUUAUAAAGACAUAGGGUACAGACUAACAGACAAAAAUGAAAUGCCUGGACACAUAGAGUCCUUGCACAUGAAACUAAAAGAAGCGCAGGACCAGAUCAAAAGCUUGGACAUUCUCCUCACUGGGGGCCAACAAACAAAAGGAUAUGUUUGAAACAAAAUGAUAAAGUCUUGGAACAGAAGUUGUCUUCAGGUGAACAAAAUCUGAAAGAGCUAGAAAGUGAAAAGAACAAAUUAAACAAAGCCAUUUCACAAUUGCAGAAGGAAAAUACAGAUUUGGAAAGCAAAAGAGCCAGCGCUGAACAUGAGAGCCAUGCUAUUUCUGCUCAGCUGGAAAAGGAAAAGAACAUUGUAAAGAAUCUACAGAAAGAAUGCUCGUCACUUCAGUCUUAUGUCUGUAAACUUCAGAAUGAGGUGAAAGAACUAGAAUUCGAGAAAAUCAAAUUAGCCAAAAUCAUUUCAAAGUUGGAAAACACUAAAGCUAAU